UCAACUGCGAUCGGAUUAGUUAGAAGACAAAAAGAAAUCCCCGAUGCUUCCUUCGUUGCCCCUCUCUCCUGUUUCUCUUCUCUCGAUUCCCCAAGCCAACGCUAGCCGCCGCCGACUCCCCAACCCCGGCCUCCACUCCAUCGCUGGCGGCCUCUCCCCCUUUCUCCCUGGACGCAUAUCCACUUGAGCAGCACGGCCACGGUCAGAUCUGCCCCUCCGUCCUCGCGCCAGAAACCCUAGUCGUCCGGCCAUGGUGACCAACCGCAGGCACAUACCUCGACGACGGUGGCGCCACGGAGCGGAGCUUCCUCUGCCCGGGACGCCGCUCAUGUGCUCGUCAAGGUCCGCUGCUCCGGACACAGCUUCGGUGCCUUAAAGGCACCUGCCUUUGGGUCACUGACAUGUGGGCCAGCCACCUGUUGGACCCACAUGUCAUAGACACAAAGGUAGGUGCCUUAAGGCACCGAAGCAUUGUCCGUCCCAGUCCCAGGAUAAGCAGCAGUAGCAUGAAGGUACGACCCUCUCUCUUGAUUUCCUCUUAUUCCCUCCCUUUCCUUUCCCUAAGGCAGGGGAUUUGCUUUCCUUGGUAGGUGCACGCAUCUCCUCCUCCCUGCCAUUUUGUUUUGUUGCUCCAUGAGCAGAUACCUUUCUAUAGUAGAGAUCUAAUAAGCUUCUGUUGAUUUUUUUAGAGGAAAAAGGUUACAUUUGCUUGACCAUAUGUAUCCUUUUAGUGAAGUUUGUAACAGGCUAUUCAAGCAGGAGUAUGUGUAAACAUAUUUGCUAUAACUGAUGAAUACACCGAUUUGGCUUUGUCGAAGUUUUAAAGUAUUGAAAGUGGUGGCUCAUUAUUUCUCUAUGCAAACUCGGAUGAUUCAACACUUCACCAGGACAUGUGAGCUUGAUCUUAUGAUUGUCCUCUGUAUUUUAUUUCUGAAAUUCCCUGUGUAGGUUCCUGAUAAGAUGUCAAAUUCCACCGCCUAGGUUCCUGAUAAGAUGUGAAUGGUCUUUUCCUCGUUGCCUUGCCUUUUCUUAUGAACAGGUAUUGCCUAUUGAGUAGACCCUAUGCAUUUGGUUGUGUUCUCAAGAUGAGAACAUCGCAAGGUUUUGAUCCUGGCCACUCUGUAAGCCUUCAAGCUACCUGUAUUCACAUUAUCUAUAUGAUCAAAUUCAAUGUCUGUCACCGUAAAAGUGUUUAACCCACCUUGGGUGCCACUGACCUGUUAGGUCUGGACCCACAUGCCAUUGAUGCAAUAGUGGCAUAACUGUUACAAAAAUUGCAGUAACAGAUAAGGAUUUAACACUUAACCAUACCAUCUAAUUUUUAAUGUAUCCAUCUUUUUGCAGUAUGGCCAUUUCUUCCUUGAUCCUCAAUAUGAAAAUGUGCAACAUAUUAACUGCUGUGAGUCAAUUCAGAUUAUCAUAGGUAAUUCGCAUAAUGGAUUGUCAUAAAUAAUUUGCAUCAUGUUGUACCAACAAACAAAGGGAGUGCAUGGUUCUACUAGCUUAUUUGUGUUCGAUCCUCCAACUGGCUCUGCAUGCCCCAAGAUUUGAAGCGUGACUGACUUUUUUUUGUCUACUGAGUUAUUUCGUUACAAUCAUCAGUGGAGAUUUCUAAAAAAAUAUGUGGAUUGGUAAGACUAAGUUCGACUAUCGUAUUUAAUGGGUCAUAAUUUCUUAUUCCAAAAGCAGAUGUUACACAAAAAUACAUGAGUUCAUGGGGGAGCACGUCAACAAGGCUGCUGCAUGAGUUCAUGUCGUCGGCAGUGGCUCGCUCGUCAACAAGGCUGAUGAAAUCAGGGGGAGCACGAGCGGGUCCGUGGACGAGCACACUUGAUGCUUCUUUAAUUCACUACAGCAAAAUACUAACAGCAUCAACAUCGAUAGUGUUCGCCACUCUCCUGACGGUGUCUCCGAUACUUUGGCCCCAGAUUAAUUAGUUGCAGCAUCACCAUAGAUUUCCCUCCUGCGGACUAUAUAGGUUGGUGUGAGCUCGGUUUGAUUUGGCCUGGUUUUGAUGUCUACUGUGUGCAGGUGCCAAAGGUGUCCGAUCGAACUCAGUUGGAGGUCAAACAGGUUCAUCUCUCGGGCAUGCCACCAAUAACGCUCGAUGACACCGAUGCGCAGACUGUAAGUUUACCCCCUCAGCCCUGAUAUAUUGGUGUGAGACACCCUGCAUUUACAUGAUAUUGCUAGGAACGCGUGCAAAUUUCAUAAUUUGUUAUACAUGCUGCUUAACUUGAUCACCGGUGUGCUGUUAAUUGGAACUCAAGAGAAUAGAGAUGACACCUUACCAUAGGCAACUCUUAAUUAUGUGCGCGUUAAUUCAAUUCUGAAAGUUGAUUCAAGUCUGUAGUGAUUGAAGUAGAUUCAUAGAAGCAAUUCCGUUAGUAUGUGAACAAAAAGCUCAUCUUAUAUGUGUGACCGGAGUUGCAGAAUAUGAAUAGGGCAAUGAUCAUAGAUGCCAACACCUACAACGUGAUUUAUCUUGAUAGAGGUGCAAUGGAUUCGUAAGUAGUUUUGAUGUUUUUUCUAGAUAGCUCAAGUACUUAAGCUUCUGCAUUCAUGAAAAACAAAAGAAGGGACUAGUAGUCAGGUUCCAUUAAUCCUUCUAUAGGUGUUCUCUUUGAUGCCUUUCCCCCUUCAUUACUAGUACAAUGAUGAUUUCUCUAUUAACCUUCUCGGUGGAGUUGGGCACUGUGCUCUUGACCUUGAAAGUGUAUUUGCAACUUUACUCAUAAUACCUUUGUGUGAUAGUGAGGCAAUUUAGUUGCAUGCCUUCAGUCACAAAAAAAGUCCUCGAAAUAAAAACGAAAGAAAAAGUAACAAGAGUUGUUGAAAAUACGAAUGGGUCAUCAAUGGCCAUAGAACAGGAGAGCAAUUUGAAUGGACAAUGGAAACAUGAGUAAAAGAAGCAGCUAAACGGAGGCCGCUCGCCCAGAGUGUCUCGGAGGAGGAUGACAGUGCCGCUGGAUUGGCGGAUGACUACUUCUUGGUGGCGUAUGGAUGUCGUACUGUAUGGAUCUUGAUUGGAUAGUUCCUGACCUCAUUCUAGGAGGCUGAUUGGAGCCUGCCAGCUGCAAUGAAGUCCUCCAUAGAGAAGGGUUUGCGGAAAAUGAUCUUGGCAUCCCAGAUAAGCAGGUCGGAGUCAAAGCCAGUGCCGAGGGGGAUUUCAAUGGAUCACCAACACGAGAAAUUGAAAUGGCAGGACCAGAAAAGAUGGUCCCAGGUCUCACUGCAGCCGGAUGUGCAAGAACACAUCAAUGAUCAUCUGUGAGACUAACACUGAAAUUUUGUCGAUGGAGCAUUACCUAUGUUAUUUAGCUUCUAGAGUACAAUGACUUGUACGUACAACUAUAACAGCUAGCAGCAUGGUUUAUCCCCUUCUGGUUCUACUAUUUCUCUAGAGUGAUGGCAUAGGAAGAGCAUGUGUAUAUGUUGAGGUUAGUCUUCUGAAACUAAUGCUGCAGAUGUUGUUUGUAGACUCAGCAUGUGUUUAUUUUAUUUUUACUUCUUUGUGACGUUUGUUGGUUUGGCAUGUGGAUAAGAUUUUUUUUAGUUUA